rnacentral:misc_RNA from 1 species
UACCUUCAGUACCUGACUUGGAAAUCCUGGACAAAUGGACAUUCGAACAGUUUUGGCAAAAAUGUCAUAAUAUCGGCUACAAAACUGCAAAUGCGAUUCAAAAAUCAAAAUCUUCAUAAUAUCUAGAACUACAAUUUUGAUGUUUUGGCCAGAACCUAGAUCCUAAAAGAACUUGAUGAAAUUGUUAGGAAAAUUCAGGACUUUCCAAUUUGGAAUUCCUGCACUAGAAUCACUUUAGCUAAUUGACCCUAGGACCGUAAUUAGACCAUUACUUUCACUAGAAACUUCCAAAUGGGCCAAAAUGAUCUGAG